UACAGAGGGUGCGAGCGUUGUUCGGAAUUACUGGGCGUAAAGCGCGCGCAGGCGGUCUUCCAAGUCAGUGGUGAAAGCCCGGGAGCUCAACCUCCGGAAUUGCCAUUGAAACUGUUAGACUUGAGGAUGAGAGAGGGUGAGUGGAAUUCCCAGUGUAGAGGUGAAAUUCGUAGAUAUCGGGAGGAACACCUGUGGCGAAAGCGGAGCUCACUGGACCACAACGUGACGCUGAGGCGCGGAAAGCUAAGGGGAGCAAACAGGG
rnacentral:rRNA from 1 species